rnacentral:rRNA from 1 species
GGGCCCGCACAAGCGGUGGAGCAUGUGGUUUAAUUCGAUGAUACGCGAGGAACCUUACCAGGGCUUAAAUGUUAGGUGACAGAUCUAGAAAUAGAUUUUUCUUCGGACACUUAACAAGGUGCUGCAUGGUUGUCGUCAGCUCGUGCCGUGAGGUGUCAGGUUAAGUCCUAUAACGAGCGCAACCCCUGUUGUUAGUUGCCAGCGAGUAAUGUCGGGAACUCUAGCAAGACUGCCAGUGCAAACUGUGAGGAAGGUGGGGAUGACGUCAAAUCAUCACGGCCCUUACGUCCUGGCUACACACGUGCUACAAUGGUAUCUACAAAAGGAAGCAAGACGGCGACGUUUAG